rnacentral:rRNA from 1 species
GGAGUCGAUUUACCAUGCUAGUCGUACGGGUUAGACCCGUGGCAGAUAGCUCAGUACCUCUUGGCCAAUCUACCCUGUAGCCCCUGACAUCCUCGGGAAUAUUGAGGCCAAUCGGGGAUACGAGUCUCACGCUGGAACCGCCGAGACUCCCAAACGGUCCGCCGCUACAGGAUGAGGCUGCGGCCGAUUAGGUUGACGGUGGGGUAACGGCCCACCGUGCCGAUAAUCGGUACGGGGUGUGAGAGCACGAGCCCGGAGACGGAAUCUGAGACAAGAUUCCGGGCCCUACGGGGCGCAGCAGGCGCGAAACCUUUACACUGCACGCACGUGCGAUAAGGGGACUCCGAGUGCGAGGGCAUAUCGUCCUCGCUUUUGUCGACCGUAAGGUGGUCGAUUUUUAAGGGCUGGGCAAGACCGGUGCCAGCCGCCGCGGUAAUACCGGCAGCCCGAGUGAUGGCCGAUCUUAUUGGGCCUAAAGCGU